ACCACAGGCCACUGCCAUGGGCGCCCCAGGCCGAUCCUGGAAGCGGCCCACGUGACUUGUAGAGGCCCCUCUGUAAAAUGAUUGGGUCCAGCGAGAUGGUAAUGGCAGGACCAAGAGGAGCUGUGGCAUGAGGCCCACCCGGCCAGGGCCGGCCACUUUGGGAUGGCUCCCAUUCUUGGGAGACCCUGAGCUCACCCCGCUCUGACCAGUGAUGCUGGCCUAAGCCUCAGGCAGAAAUUCUCUCCACCCACCACAGCUUGCUUAGCGUUUCUCUUAGGAACCCCCAGUAGCAAGCCCUGAAGUGCCCUCGGAGGACGAGGGAAGGAAGAACACCAGCAGGUCACGGAGGCCAAGCAGGAGCCCCAUUGGGAAUGGGCACUAAUGAGUGUGCCCUCUCCCUCUUCAGAUUACCUUGACUGCCUGUGUGGGGCCACAUCCCUUGGAGAAUAGUCAUCAAAGUUCUUGAUAAGACAAAAGUCAGAAUGGCUGGUGAUGGCCCAGGAUGAAAUGGAUGACCUUAGGCUUCUUCAGUGGCUGCCAAGCUUCAAGCACUCCACAGCGCCUGCUUCAGUUGCUCUCAUUGCCUUGGAAAAAACAGUUGCCACAGUCCCUUCUGUUGUGGGAAGUCUUCACAUGCCUGGGGUAGAAAAUCCCUCACCUCACCAACUGGCUUGAGACCCAUUGGUUCCACUCAACCUAGUUUUGCCCUUUGGCCCAUAUGUCAAGAUGGUCUAUUAGUACAGAUCACAGCUUCUUAGAGCCACAGGUGAGAGUUGAGUGCAGGUGGACACCAAAGCUGGAUGAGCAGCCCUGAAAAGGACUGGGCAAGCCCCCUACCAGAGGUGGUAAGUCCUCCUCCAACAGGCAUCCACCCCAGGCACUUAACAAAUGUUUAUUGACUGAUUGUCCCUUUGCACAGGCUGUCCUCUACACCCACACCUGGAAUGCUCUCUCCCUACCUCUGCCUCUUAAAUCAAUCAUCAAUCAACAAGCAUUUAUUAAAACUCCCAAGUGUCAGGAGGUGGCAGAUAUCUUUCAAAGACAAUCAGUCCCUGCCUUCAAGGAACUUACUUUCAGGGAAACAUUUAGUAUACCUAAAUAUUUACAAAUUAAGUUAAGGGUAUGCUGGUAAAAGUUUUAUGACUGGCUCUCCGAAGAACAACAGGACACACUUUUAAAUUUCGUCAACAUUAUUCAUGUAUUUUCCAUGACUUUUUUUUUUUUAACCCUUACCUUCCAUCUUGAAGUCAAUAUUGUCAAUACUCUGUAUUGGUUCCAAGGCAGAAGAGUGGUAAGGGUUAGGCAACGGGGGUCAAGUGACUUGCCCAGGGUCACACAGCUAGGAAUCCACCAUCAUUUUAAAGUCUAAACAACCAAUGAAUCAAUAAAUCAAACUCUGAUUUGUGAUCUGCUGACUUGCAAGCAGCAAAUGCUGGUCCUGAACAUUUAACAGUCAGCUCCCCCCUCCCCCCAAUUAAGUACAAGCUUCAAGGAAACAUCUGGUAUACCUAAAUAUUUACAAAUUAAGUCAAGGGUAUACUGGUAAAAGUUUCAUGACUGGCUCUCUGAAGAACAACAGGACACACUCUUAAAUUUCAUCAACAUUAUUAAUGUAUUCUUCAUCUCUCCCCCCCCCCCCCCCUUUUAAACCUUUACCUUCCAUCUUGGAAUCAAGUACAAGUUGGGAGGAGGCACCAGCAACUCUUAAAAGACCCUCAGCUUCCAUGGAGGCUCAACUGAGCACCGGCUUCUUCAAGAGAUCGUCCUCCAUUUUUAAUGAGGCCUCUCUUCCCAUUCCUGUGUAUUUAUCUUUGAAGACAGGAUUCUAGAUCUACAGCUAGAAAGGAACUGAAAGACCAAACGGUGCAACCUCAUUUUGCAGAUGAGGAAACUGAGGACCAGGAGGAGUGCCCAAAGUGACAGGUGUUCAAGUAUACAAGAUAGGAUUUGAACCCAGAUCCUCUGACUCCAGAUAGAGCCAGUGCUUUCUCCCCUGUGUUUUAUCUCUCUGGCAGAAGGUAAACUCCUGGAAAGGCAAGGCCUAUCUCUUUCGCAUUUGUUCCUCAACUCCUACCUAAGGCCUGGCAUGUAGCAGGCUUGCUGACUGAGCUUGACUCGGAACACCACCGGUCUUGACGUUAUUUGUUGAAUGGAGGCUCGGAACACCGCCGGCCCUUACAGUAAUUGUUAAAUGGCUUGGAAGGCGUAUUCUGGGACUACAGGCUGAAAGACCCACCCAGCGCCUUCAUUUUCCCUUCCCUAGGCCAAGCCACAGAAAAGCUGGCGGUAGCGACACCUAGUGGUCCUCCUUGGUGUGCGCGUCCAUGUUCUCUGUGGUUGAAAGGACAGGCUGUACUAACUAGGGUGGAAGGAUCAUAAGGUCAUGGAUUUAGAGCUGGUGGCGACACCUAGUGGCCCGCCUUGGUGUGUGCGCCCACAUUCUCUGCUUGGGAGGACAGGCUGUACUAACUAGGGUGGAAGGAUCACAAGGUCAUGGAUUUAGAGCUGGUGGCGACACCUAGUGGCCCGCCUUGGUGUGUGCGCCCACAUUCUCUGCUUGGGAGGACAGGCUGUACUAAAUAGGGUGGAAGGAUCACAAGGUCAUGGAUUUAGAGCUGGUGGCGACACCUAGUGGCCCGCCUUGGUGUGUGCGCCCACAUUCUCUGCUUGGGAGGACAGGCUGUACUAAAUAGGGUGGAAGGAUCACAAGGUCAUGGAUUUAGAGCUGGUGGCGACACCUAGUGGCCCGCCUUGGUGUGUGCGCCCACAUUCUCUGCUUGGGAGGACAGGCUGUACUAAAUAGGGUGGAAGGAUCACAAGGUCAUGGAUUUAGAGCUGGUGGCGACACCUAGUGGUCAUUCCUGAUAUAUGCCCGCAUUCUCUGGGUCUCAGCAUAGAUUUUGAACUGGAAGAGGCCUUGAAGGUAGGUCUUCUAGUCCAAUCUCAUUCUACAAAUGAGAAAACCAAUGCCCAGGGAGGUUGAGUGACUUUCCAGAGUUGCACAAGAAAAAGGAGACAAACUCGAGGCAUUAAACCCAGGUCCUCUGAAUCCCAUUGCUGAAGUAUUUAUGCUAAAUAGCCUCUAAUAAUUCCUGAAACAUUAAAAUGGACUAACCAUUAUCACUAUAUAUAUAAGAUUAUAUACAUAUAUAAAAAUAACCUCACACCUUAUACAUAAAAUAUUUUUAAAUUUUAAAUUUAAAUUCUAUGUAUUUAUACAUAUAUAAAUUUUAAAUUAAAAUUAAAUAAAAUUUAAACAAUUUUCCAUCUGUGGUUUCAUCAGUUUGGGGAAACUCCUGCUUUGGAAAUUCCAUCCAUUGAUUCAGAUCAAUAACUCAUCUAUGACUUGGACUCUUUGUGGGGAGGUGACUGAGAAGUGACUCAGAGCUACACAACUAUUAAGCAUGAGAGGUAGGACUUGAAAGUAGAUCUUCAGAACUUUGGGCUGCUAAGUGGUACAAUGUGUGUAUCAAUCCAGCACAAUCAGUGCUGGAUUUUGAGUGCACAUCUGGCCUCAAACACUAGCGGUGGGACCCUGGGCAAGUCACUUAACCUUGUUUGCCUUGGUUUACUCAUCUGUAAAAUGAGCUAGAGAAGAAAAUGGCAAACUUCUUCACUAUCUCUGUUAAGAAAUCCCCAAAUGUAAGCUGUUGGCAUAUGGUCCAGGUGAAGGAGGUUGGGGUUGAAGAGUUGAAUGAACCGGUUAUUUGGGAGAUCAUCACUGGCAGUGUUGAAGUCCCAGAGAAGAAAAUGAACUAGGUACUAAUGUUGAUGAGAAAGCUGAGAGAAUGACCUGGAGGUCUUGGAAUGAGAGUCAAGCAGUAAAGCUUACUCUGCUGUUCUUCAGGUAUUAGGGAUUCUGAGAAAAAGGAGAAGCAAAAAAUGAUCCCUGCCCUCAAGGAAGUCACAGAGGGGCUGAGUUGAUGUCUAAGGCAGUCUGACCAGUGGGGGAGACCAUAUAUAUAUAUAUAUAUAUAUAUAUAUAUAUAUAUAUAAAUCAGAAUAUAUAU